rnacentral:tRNA from 1 species
UCCCUGGUGGCUCAGAUGGUAAAGCGUCUGUCUACAAUGCAGGAGACCCGGGUUCGAUCCCUGGGUUGGAAA